rnacentral:rRNA from 1 species
GACGAACGCUGGCGGCGUGCUUAACACAUGCAAGUCGAACGGUGACGAAGGAGCUUGCUCCUUCUGAUCAGUGGCGAACGGGUGAGUAACACGUGAGCAACCUACCCUUGACUCUGGGAUAACAGCUGGAAACAGCUGCUAAUACCGGAUACGAACUCCGCGGGCAUCUGCGGAGUUGGAAAGCUCCGACGGUCAGGGAUGGGCUCGCGGCCUAUCAGCUUGUUGGUGAGGUAACGGCUCACCAAGGCGACGACGGGUAGCCGGCCUGAGAGGGCGACCGGCCACACUGGGACUGAGAUACGGCCCAGACUCCUACGGGAGGCAGCAGUGGGGAAUAUUGCGCAAUGGGCGAAAGCCUGACGCAGCAACGCCGCGUGCGGGACGACGGCCUUCGGGUUGUAAACCGCUUUCAGCAGGGACGAAAAUGACGGUACCUGUAGAAGAAGCACCGGCUAACUACGUGCCAGCCGCCGCCGUAAAAC